CGGGUGAGUAAUGUAUGGGGAUCUGCCUGAUGGCGGGGGAUAACUACUGGAAACGGUAGCUAAUACCGCAUAAUGACUGCGGACCAAAGCGGGGGACCUCCGGGCCUCGCGCCAUCAGAUGAACCCAUAUGGGAUUAGCUUGUAGGUAAGGUAACGGCUUACCUAGGCGACGAUCCCUAGCUGGUCUGAGAGGAUGAUCAGCCACACUGGGACUGAGACACGGCCCAG
rnacentral:rRNA from 1 species